CUACGGGUCGCUCCAGUAAGGAAUAUUGCGCAAUGGAGGCAACUCUGACGCAGCAUGCCGCGUGCAGGAAGAAGGCCUUAUGGGUCGUAAACUGCUUUUAUUUAGGAAUAAACCCCCGAACGUGUUCGGGGCUGAAGGUACUAAACGAAUAAGCACCGGCUAACUCCGUGCCAGCAGCCGCGGUAAUACGGAGGGUGCAAGCGUUAGCCGGAUUUAUUGGGUUUAAAGGGUGCGCAGGCGGGCUAUUAAGUCAGUGGUGAAAUACCGGGGCUCAACUCCGGAACUGCCAUUGAUACUGAUAGUCUUGAGUUUGGUUGAAGUGGGCGGAAUGUAGCACGUAGCGGUGAAAUGCAUAGAUAUGCUACAGAACACCAAUCGCGAAGGCAGCUCACUAAGCCAAAACUGACGCUCAUGCACGAAAGCGUGGGGAUCAAACAGGAUUAGAUACCCUGGUAGUC
rnacentral:rRNA from 1 species